CCUACGGGAGGCAGCAGUGGAGAAUAUUGGACAAUGGGCGAAAGCCUGAUCCAGCCAUGCCGCGUGUGUGAAGAAGGCCUUCGGGUUGUAAAGCACUUUCAGUGGGGAAGAAAGCCUUGGGGCUAAUACCCUCGAGGAAGGACAUCACCCACAGAAGAAGCACCGGCUAACUCCGUGCCAGCAGCCGCGGUAAUACGGAGGGUGCGAGCGUUAAUCGGAAUUACUGGGCGUAAAGCGCGCGUAGGCGGUCUGAUAAGCCGGUUGUGAAAGCCCCGGGCUCAACCUGGGAACGGCAUCCGGAACUGUCAGGCUAGAGUGCAGGAGAGGAAGGUAGAAUUCCCGGUGUAGCGGUGAAAUGCGUAGAGAUCGGGAGGAAUACCAGUGGCGAAGGCGGCCUUCUGGACUGACACUGACGCUGAGGUGCGAAAGCGUGGGUAGCAAACAGGAUUAGAUACCCCAGUAGUC
rnacentral:rRNA from 1 species